rnacentral:rRNA from 1 species
UACGUAGGGUGCGAGCGUUGCCCGGAUUUAUUGGGCGUAAAGGGCGCGUAGGCGGCUCGGCACGUCCGUUGUGAAAUCGCCCGGCUCAACUGGGCGGGGUCAGCGGAUACGGUCGAGCUCGAGCAAGCUAGGGGGCAAUGGAAUUCCCGGUGUAGUGGUGGAAUGCGUUAGAGAUGUGGAGGAACACCAGUGGCGAAGGCGGCUUUCUGGUCUGUAACUGACGCUGAGGCGCGAAAGCGUGGGGAGCAAACAGG